CGUGUUAAGUGGAAAAGGAUGUGGGGAUUCUAAGACAACUAGGACGUUGGCUUAGAAGCAGCCAUUCAUUGAAAGAGUGCGUAAUAGCUCACUAGUCGAGAGUCCCUGCGCCGAAAAUGUCCGGGGCUGAAACACGACACCGAAGCUUAGGAAUGUGUAAACAUUGGUAGAGGAGCAUUGCUGGCGGGAUGAAGCCAUACCGUAAGGAGUGGUGGACUGCUAGGAAGAGAGAAUGCCGGAAUGAGUAGCGAGAUGAAGGUGAGAAUCCUUCAGGCCGAAUAUCUAAGGUUUCCAGAGUAAAGCUGAUCUGCUCUGGGUAAGUCGGGACCUAAGGCGAGGUCGAAAGACGUAGUCGAUGGAUAACAGGUUGAAAUUCCUGUACCGCAUAUAAACAGAACUGUGGGGACACAGACAGGGAAUGGAAUCCGGGAAUGGAUAUCCCGGUGCAAGCGAGGUAGGAGUGCUGUUGGCAAAUCCGCAGCACGAUCUGAAGACGUGAUGCGUACCGAACAUAAGUAGGGAAGUCCAGGCCCCUGGCUGUCAAGAAAAGCCGCUAUUGUUUUAUAUGUGCCCGUACCGCAAACCGACACAGGUGGAUGAGGAGAGAAUCCUAAGGCCGACGGGAGAAGUAUUGUUAAGGAACUCGGCAAAAUGACUCCGUAACUUCGGGAGAAGGAGUGCCAUGAGAGUGGCCGCAGAGAAAUGGCCCAAGCAACUGUUUAGCAAAAACACAGGUCUAUGCAAAACCGCAAGGUGAAGUAUAUGGGCUGACGCCUGCCCGGUGCUGGAAGGUUAAGGGGAGAUGUCAGGAGACGAAGCAUCGAACUUAAGCCCCAGUAAACGGCGGCCGUAACGAUAACGGUCCUAAGGUAGCGAAAUUCCUUGUCGGGUAAGUUCCGACCCGCACGAAAGGCGUAAUGAUUUGGGCGCUGUCUCGGCAAUGCAUCCGGUGAAAUUGAAGUGCCAGUGAAGAUGCUGGCUACCCGCGCCAGGACGGAAAGACCCCAUGGAGCUUUACUCCAGCUUGAUACUGGGAUUCGGUAUUGCAUGUACAGGAUAGGUGGGAGGCUAGGAAAUGGUAACGCCAGUUGCCAUGGAGCCGCUGUUGGGAUACCACCCUUGCAGUACUGGGUUUCUAACCAGCAGCCGUGACCCGGCUGGGGGACAAUGUCAGGUGGGGAGUUUGACUGGGGCGGUCGCCUCCGAAAGGGUAUCGGAGGCGCUCAAAGGUUCCCUCAGAAUGGU
rnacentral:rRNA from 1 species